rnacentral:rRNA from 1 species
GUCCCGCAACGAGCGCAACCCUUGUCUUUAGUUACCAUCAUUCAGUUGGGGACUCUAAAGAUACUGCCCCGGUCAACGGGGGAGGAAGGUGGGGAUGACGUCAAGUCCUCAUGGCCUUUAUGUCCAGGGCUACACACGUGCUACAAUGGGCUGUACAAAGGGUCGCGAACCCGCGAGGGUAAGCCAAUCCCAAAAAGCAGUCCCAAGUUCGGAUUGGAGUCUGCAACUCGACUCCAUGAAGCUGGAAUCGCUAGUAAUCGCGGAUCAGCAUGCCGCGGUGAAUACUCCCGGGCCUUGUACACACCGCCCGUCACACA